rnacentral:rRNA from 1 species
UACGUAGGUGGCAAGCGUUGUCCGGAUUUACUGGGCGUAAAGGAUGCGUAGGCGGAUGUUUAAGUGAGAUGUGAAAUACCCGAGCUCAACUUGGGUGCUGCAUUUCAAACUGGAUAUCUAGAGUGCAGGAGAGGAAAGCGGAAUUCCUGGUGUAGAGGUGAAAUUCGUAGAUAUCAGGAGGAACACCAGUGGCGAAGGCGGCUUUCUGGACGGUAACUGACGCUGAGACGCGAAAGCGUGGGGAGCAAACAGG